AGACUUGACAUCUCCUGCAUUACCCUUAAUCGGGAAAGUUCCUUCGGGGACAGGAAGACAGGUGGUGCAUGGUUGUCGUCAGCUCGUGUCGUGAGAUGUUGGGUUAAGUCCCGCAACGAGCGCAACCCUUAUUGUUAGUUGCUACCAUUUAGUUGAGCACUCUAGCGAGACUGCCCGGGUUAACCGGGAGGAAGGUGGGGAUGACGUCAAAUCAUCAUGCCCCUUAUGUCUAGGGCUACACACGUGCUACAAUGGCAAGUACAAAGAGACGCAAUACCGCGAGGUGGAGCAAAACUCAAAAACUUGUCUCAGUUCGGAUUGUAGGCUGAAACUCGCCUACAUGAAGCUGGAGUUGCUAGUAAUCGCGAAUCAGCAUGUCGCGGUGAAUACGUUCCCGGGUCUUGUACACACCG
rnacentral:rRNA from 1 species